rnacentral:rRNA from 1 species
ACGGGAGGCAGCAGUAGGGAAUAUUGCACAAUGGGGGAAACCCUGAUGCAGCGACGCCGCGUGAGCGAUGAAGUAUUUCGGUAUGUAAAGCUCUAUCAGCAGGGAAGAUAAUGACGGUACCUGACUAAGAAGCCCCGGCUAACUACGUGCCAGCAGCCGCGGUAAUACGUAGGGGGCAAGCGUUAUCCGGAUUUACUGGGUGUAAAGGGAGUGUAGGUGGUUUGGCAAGCCAGAUGUGAAAACCCGGGGCGCAACCCCGCGGACUGCAUUUGGAACUGUUAAACUUGAGUGCAGGAGAGGAAAGUGGAAUUCCUAGUGUAGCGGUGAAAUGCGUAGAUAUUAGGAGGAACACCAGUGGCGAAGGCGGCUUUCUGGACUGUAACUGACACUGAGGCUCGAAAGCGUGGGGAGCAAACAGGAUUAGAUACCCUGGUA